rnacentral:ncRNA from 3 species
AGCGCGGGUAAACGGCGGGAGU